rnacentral:rRNA from 1 species
AACGUAGGAGGCGAGCGUUAUCCGGAGUUACUGGGCGUAAAGAGCGUGUAGGCGGGUAGGCAAGUUUGGCGUGAAAGCUCCCGGCUAAACUGGGAGAGUGCGUUGAAGACUGCGUAUCUAGAGGCAAGUAGAGGGACGUGGAAUUCCGGGUGUAGCGGUGAAAUGCGUAGAUAUCAGGAGGAAUACCGGUGGCGAAAGCGACUCUCUGGACGGCAACUGACGCUGAGGCACGAAAGCGUGGGGAGCAAACAGG